rnacentral:misc_RNA from 1 species
AGAUGCUUCUCUUUUCUCGACGCUUUCUUCUUUCAUGGACUCAUCCUUCGCCCACAAGCGACACUUGGACACCACCACCGCAUUUGAUACUUCCACUCCGACCGCCAAGCGCCGCCACCAACUACUGCCGUCCUCGGCAACUCCGCCGUCCAAUUCCUUUCGUACACCACCACCGCCGCUGCCAUUUCUGAAACUCUCUCCCGGUGAAGCAUUCUUCCGAAUCCUCUGUCCGGCGGAUAAAACCGGUGGUGUGAUCGGAAAAGGUGGAGCUAUAAUCCGACAGCUCAGAGAGGAGACUGGUGCUAAGAUUCGCAUUGAUGAUUCACUUGCCGGAUGCGAUGAGCGUGUUAUCGUUGUUAUAGCUGACUCAACGAAGAAAGACCAAACCAGCUCGGAUGCUGGUGGUGUCAAUGGUGAAGAAUUACCUCAUUCGGCUUUCAAUGAUGAGUCAUCAUCCCAGGCUCAGCGGGCGUUGAUUAGAGUACUUGAGAGGAUUUUGAAAGUGGAUGAGGAGGGGAAUGCGGUUCAAUCGGAAGGAGAAGGGAGGAAGGAUGAAUUUAGCGAUGCGAGGAGUCCACAGGGAGUGGUGAUUUGUAGGCUUUUAGCACCGAGUAAUCAAGUUGGAAGCGUGCUGGGAAAAGGGGGAAAGAUUAUUGAGAAGAUAAGACAGGAGAGUGGAGCUCAGGUUAGGGUUUUGCCUAAAGAUCAGAUGCCUGCUUGUGCAUUACCGGGCGACGAGUUAAUUCAGAUAACUGGAAGCUUUUCAACUGUGAGAAGAGCUCUGUUGUCUGUUUCAAGCUGCCUUCAGGAUAACACAAGGGUAGAUUUAGUAAAUCCCUCUACCCCCAGAUUUUCAGGGAUGUCACAAAAUGGAACUGGUUAUCACACGCCCGAGCAGUUCUCGAGGAGUUCUGGUGUUGAGAGUGCUGGAAUCAACCACAGGAUGGUCUUGGAGGAAGAGGUCGUGUUUAAGGUGUUAUGUCCGGUUGACAAGGUUGGAAAUUUGAUAGGAAAAGGUGGCUCAAUUAUUAGGGUGAUGCAGACUGAAACUGGUGCAUCUGUCAAGGUUGCUGAUUCGGCAUCUGACGUAGAUGAAAGAAUUGUUGUGAUAUCUGCAAGAGAGAACCUGGAGCAAAGACAUUCCCCUGCUCAGGAAGCUCUUAUGCGUGUCCUGGGCAGAAUUGCUGAGAUUGGAUUUGAACCAGGAGCUGCAGUUGUAUCAAGGCUUCUGGUACAUGCACGACAUAUGAGUUGUCUCUUUGCUAAUGGGGGUAUCCUAAUUGCUGAAUUGCGACGAGUCACUGGUGCUAGCAUUCGUAUUUUUCCCAGAGAACAAUCUCCAAAAUACGGUUCCCACACAGAAGAAGUUUUACAGGUCAUUGGGAGCAUGCAGUCUGUCCAGGAUGCUUUGUUCCAAAUUACUUGUAGGCUUCGUGAUGCAAUGUUUCCUGUGAAACCACAUGUUUCAACUAUUGCCCCUCCGCAUUUCCCCCCUUACUCUGAAGUUCCAUCCCCGUCAUUCAGGCCAAGGCAUGAUCCUGCUUCUCCUAGUUACCACUCACCUGUUGGCUACCCUCACGAUCGUGCUCCCCAUUUCUAUGGCUAUGAGAGACAAGGACAUGCUCCGUAUUUUGAUAGACCUCCUUCACCUGGAAGAUGGGGUCCUCAGGGAGACAAUUCUAGACAUACAGCUGGAGUGGCUGAUUGUAGCAGUGCCAGUGAGGCAGCACCUAAUUUGCCAGAGACUACUGUUGAAAUGGUAAUUCCUGAAAUGUAUAUAAAAUAUGUUUAUGGAGAGGAUUCUAGCAACCUUCAUCAUAUAAAGAGGAUUUCAGGCGCUAAGGUAGUAAUUCAUGAUCCUGUAGCUGGUUCUGCAUGCGGCUGUGCUAUUUUGUCAGGGACGAAAGAUCAAGUGGAAUACGCUCAGACCCUUAUUCAUGCCUUCAUCUAUUGUGAGAAGGGGGACACAUAGAGCUUGUUUCUUACCAUGAUCCUAAAGGAAGAACAUAGUGUAAACAUUAACAAAGUGGAAAAACGGAGAAUGCAGCAGCUAUUUGGGAAGGGAAAAAAGUCAGCUAUGCCUGUUUUUUUCAAUCAUAUUUUGAUGUUAGGAGUAUUUUGCAGGCAAAAAUUAUGUAGUAAUUGUAAAUGUUAAAAGCAAUGUGCACAUGAAUUUGUCAGUUCAUUUGAUUCUCAUAGGAACACAAUCAUGUGGUUCUGUAAGUU